GAAGUGCUGAACUCUUGACUUGCCUUAUCUUAUUUGAUCCUCACAAAAAACCUUAUGAGAUGCAUCACUACCAGAAGUUGUCCAGAAAGAACUGUGACCUUAUGUUUUAAUUAAAUAAUUUUUCAUCCAGUUUUUUUCUUUGCAUAUAAGGAAACAGAAUCUUGACAUCUGAUUGAAUUAUCGGCUCUCCUGAUGGUUGCGCGAUGGCUGCAGCAGUUUCAGAAAAGAUCCCAGAUGAAAGAUGCCAUCUCCUCCUAUGUGCCUCUUUGUAAGAGUGCCAUGCCACUCAAACAGCCAAUGGAAAGGCCCACGUGGCAAGAACUAAGGCUUCCUGCCAACAGGCAAGUGAGGAAGCCCAGUCAGCUGCCUGCAGUCCCGACCCAUGGAGAGCCUGACUGAAAGUGAGUGAGCAACCCUGAACUAGGACAACCCAGCAAGACCCAUCCUGAAUUCCUGCCCACAAAAACUCUGAGCCAGUAAAUGUUUGUGGUUUUAAAACACUAAGUUUUGAAGUAAUAGAUUAAUUAGGUAACCAAUUGAGACUACAGUAUUCCUUCAGGGAACUUGAAUAGUCAUUCUGUAUAUGGGGAACAUAUGUACAUCUUAAAAUUGCUGGACUAAAAUAAGAAGAGACUGUCUUGAGUCAACGGGAUAAAGUGGAAAAAAAUGAAUUUAGAAAUCAAUAGAAUUCUGGCCUUGGCUUUGCAACUAAGAAACACUUAUAAGUAAUUUCACUUCUCUUGAAAUUAUGAUCAUUAUCUAUAACAUAAAGGAACUGAGCUAAAUGUUAUCUGAUGCCUCUUUAAGCUCUCAAACUCCACAGAUUUAUGAAAUGCUUAAAAUUCACUUUGUUUCACCUUAAUUCAGAGCGUUGUUUCACUAGCUCUAGAAUUAGAUGCCUUGGAUUUAAAUUGCAUUUCAGUCACUUAUUAAAUAAUUGUACUUGGCUGAGUGAUGUUGCCAUUUUAAAGCUCAGUUUCCCCAUAGAUUCAUUGAGAAGAUCAAAUAAGAUGAUGCAGAUAAAGCUCUUAGUUUGUGGGGGCACUUAGUAAGUGCUUAAUAAAUACAGACAGUUGUGUUUUCUAUACUGUAGCAGCACAUUUUGUAAAAUAAAACAAAGUUGAAAUGACA